rnacentral:rRNA from 1 species
UACGGGGGGGGCAAGCGUUGUUCGGAAUUACUGGGCGUAAAGGGCGCGUAGGCGGCCUGCUAAGUCGGAUGUGAAAUCCCUCGGCUCAACCGAGGAACUGCAUCCGAUACUGGCGGGCUUGAAUCCGGGAGAGGGAUGUGGAAUUCCAGGUGUAGCGGUGAAAUGCGUAGAUAUCUGGAGGAACACCGGUGGCGAAGGCGGCCCACUGGAUCGGUACUGACGCUGAGGUGCGAAAGCGUGGGGAGCAAACAGG